rnacentral:rRNA from 1 species
CACGUGGAUAAUCUGCCCUUCAGUGGGGAAUAACCAACCGAAAGGUUGGCUAACACCGCAUGAGACCACAGUAGCUGCGGCUACAGAGGUUAAAAAUUUAUUGCUGAAGGAUGAGUCUGCGCGGGAUUAGCUAGUUGGUGGGGUAAUGGCCUACCAAGGCAACGAUCCCUAGCUGGUCUGAGAGGAUGACCAGUCACACUGGAACUGAGACACGGUCCAGACUCCUACGGGAGGCAGCAGUAGGGAAUAUUGCGCAAUGGACGAAAGUCUGACGCAGCGACGCCGCGUGAGUGAUGAAGGCCUUAGGGUCGUAAAGCUCUGUUGAAUGGGAAGAAAAAAAUGACGGUACCAUUCGAGGAAGGACCGGCUAACUUCGUG